GCAUGCUGUGAAAUAUGAGAAAGGCUCAUAGUGUCUUUUCUUUGAAAUGAAAAGCGCCAUCUCGAGUUCUGUGGAAUUGGGUCCAGCCUUCCUUGGCUAUAACAGGCAUGAUAAGGAUCAUUUUGCCUCCUUUAGGAGCAGGGCUAGAUGUCCUACAAUUCUCUGCAUUAGUUGAGCCCAUGGACAGUAACAGCCAUAGUCUGAGAUAUAAAAAAAAAAACAGCACAUCGCCCAGAAAAAAGCCUGGGCCCUGUGCUUUUGGGAUUCUAUUCGCACGUGUUUCGGACUGGCAAGACUCAAACCCAGAAAGAGGGACUCCCUGAGAGGGGAAAGGCGGACGUGCAGGGCCACUCUGGCCUAAGUCUUCUCUGUGGAUCGAAGCAGAAGCUUCUCCAUACCAUCCUCAUGGAGACUUGAAGUGACAAUUGACAAAGCUUGGAGCUUCCCACAGAAAAUUCCAGCCUGUUCUUGGUGCCUGUUGUACAUGGGACAGAAUUGGAUGGUGGGUUGGAGUCAGGCUGGGGCUCAAAUCCUGGACCUUUCUCUCUGGAACCCAAGACUCCCCAGGUUGCAGAGGUGACAGCUUCUGAUGUUUGACACAGAGGCCAGUGAAGAUAAAAAUAAUGACAGCAUUUAUGGGAGGCCAAGGCGGGCAGAUCACGAGGUCAGGAGAUCAAGACCAUCCUGGUCAACAUGGUGAAACCCUGUCUCUACUAAAAAUACAGAAACUUAGCUGGGCGUGGCAGCACACGCCUGUAGUCCCAGCUACUCGGGAGGCUGAGGCAGGAGAAUUGCUUGAACCUGGGAGGCAGAAGCUGCAGCGAGCCAAGAUCAUGCCACUGCACUCCAGCCUGGGUGACAGAGCGAGACUCUGUCUCAAAAAUAAAAUAAAAUAUAUAAAAUAAAAUAAAAUAAAAUAAAAUAAAUAAUGACAGCAUUUAAGGACUGCUGACCCUGAGCUAGGCAGUGUUCUAAGUCUUUACAUGUGUUAUAUAUUUGUUAUCUAUUGCUCCAUAACAAAUUCUCCCAAAAUGUAAGCAAAAAAUGUUAAAAUGUAUUUUAUUUUAUUAUCUCACAAAGUUUUUGUGGAUCAGGUGUCUGGAGCAGCUUGGCUGGGUGGUGCUGGCCCAGGGUCCCUCAUGAGGUUGCAGCCAAGAUGUCAGCUGGAGCUGCAUCAUCUGAAGGCUCAAGUGAGGCUGCAGGAUCCCUUUCCAAGAUGAUGUCUUGCAUGCCUGGCUCAUUUGUGCUGGGGGUUGGCAGGAGGCCUCAGUUCUUUGCCAUGUAGAUCUCUCCAGAGCAUUGCUUAAGUGUCCUUAUGACAUGGCAGCUGGUUUUCCCUACAACAAGUGCUCCAAAAGAGCAAGGCAGAAGUUGCGAUGUCUUAUGUGACUUAGUGUUGAAGUCACACUAUGUCAUUUCUGCAACAUCCUGUUGGUUACACAGGUCAGCCCUAUCCAUUGUGGGAGGGGCCUAUACAAAGACACAAUACCAGGAGGUGAGAAUUACUGGAACCAUGUUGGAGGCUGACUAUACAUCUAUUAACUCAUUUAAUCCCUGAAAUGCACCCACGGAGGCUUAGAAGAGACCAAGGUGAAGAAGGAGGUACUGAAUGUGGGAGACCAAGAGGAGCAGAGGCAGAGGUUCUAGCGACAGUGCUACACCAGCAUCAGCAAGGUGUGCAGGUUCAUUCUUGUCUAAUGGCAAUGGUGUCUCCAGUGGAGAAGCCGGGUCAGGAGUGGUUGGUGAGUUGUUCCUGGGUGUGUCUCUUCCACGCCUGACUCUUCAGCCCUGCUGGAGAUUCUGUGAGCCACCAAAUAUAUAAAAGGCUUGACUGCUUAAACUAAUUGAAGAUCAUUAAGUAUGAGAGAGCCAUCAGCAUAAUGUGAAUGGUCCAAGGGCCACAUCAUCUUAGGUGUUAUUAGCAAAAACAGAGCCCCUAGAAUAAAGGAGGUGAGAGUGCAUUCCUAUUCUGCACUGGUCAGAAGACAGCUGGAAUAAGUCUGCAAGCUAUUUAUUUAAGAGAGACAGUAACAAAUUAGAGCCUGUCAAGAGGAUAGGGGCCAGGAUGGUGGCAGAACACAAAACGAAACCCUGAGGCCUAGGAGAUGUUUUCUGUGGGGAAGAGAAGACACUGAGGGGGCCGUGGAGCUGUUUUCACAUAUAUAAAGUUUUCCCUUACGGCAUCAUGGUGCAGAAGGCUGGAAAGACUCAGGCUCAAAUCCUGGUCACUUCCUCUGUGUGGCCCUGGACAGGCCCUGCUAUGGUUUGGAUAUUUGACCCCUCCAACCCUCAUGUUGAAAUGUGAUCCCCAAUACUGGAGGUGGGGCCUCAUGGGAGGUGUUUGUGUCAUGGUGGCUGAUCCCUCAUGAAUUGCUUGGUGCCAUUCUUGCAUUGUAAUAAAUGAGCUCUCACUCUAUUAGUUUUCAUGAGAGCUGGCUGCUAAAAAUCCUGGCACCUCUGCACCACCCCCUCCCCAUUCCUCUCUUAGCAUGUGAUCUCUGCACACUAGCUCUCCUUCCCCUUUCCAUGAAUGGAAGCUUCCUGAGGCCCUCACCAGACCAGACGCUGGCUCCAUGCUUCUUGUACAGCCUGCAGAACCAUGAGCCAAAUAAACCUCUUGUCUUUAUAAAUUACCCAGCCUCGGGUAUUCCUUUAUAGCAACACAAAUAGACUAAGACAGGCCCUUAAGUUCUGUGAGUAAUUUAUGGCAACAGUAACAUGUAGGAAAUGUUUAAUGUAUGUAGGCCCUCUCCCCUUUACCCUCAGCACCCAUGAGGGUAUAAGAGACAGAUUUGAACUUGGUCUGAAAAUGGAAUGCAAGCAGUGAUUGCCUGCCCUUGGAGGAAAUCAAGUACAGGCUGGGUGACCUACUGGACCGUCUACCCUUAUUGAGCGCUUCUGGAGGCUGUGUCCACAUUAAGCAUGGUACAUGCAUUUUCUCACUUAUUCCUAUUGACAAUCUUAUGAGUAGGUGCUAUUAUGUCCAUUUUGCAGGUGGAGAAACUGAAGCCCAUAGAGAUGAAAUAGCUUGUGAGUGGCAUUGUCAGCAUUUGAACUCAGCCCUCUCUGACUCCAAAGCCUGUGUUUGUAACCAUUCUUGGCUGCUGAAGGCAGGGGAGUGGGGAGUGGUAGGCAGAGAAGGUAGGGGGUGGGACAAGUAUUAGGAAGAGCUGGCAUGGAUGCUCUCUAAGACUCUUUCUAAUUCAGAGCUUCAAGAUGCUUUGGUUUCCUCGAGGCUGUGAAACAAAGCUCCUGGCACAGGCUGUAUCUCAGACUGUCUUGCUCAUCACAUUUGUGCCUCUCUCCUGGGUCAUCCCUACCAGCAUACAAGCAUGCAGCACUGUCUCUUCUCUUAAGAAAUAAGAGCAGACUCCCCUGAGCCCACACCCACCUCUGCUCCUCCCCUCCACAUACACACUUCUUGGCUUUCUUUCCUAACAAAUUUCCUCUAAGGAUGGACCUAUUCCCAGACUUUACUCCCCACCCUCUCAGGUUCUCCUCAGUCUACUCCAAUCUGCUUUCAUCCUCAUUGAACUACUAUUUAAUACCAUGAAGGUCUCCAAGGAUCUCCAUCCUGCCCAAACCACUGGAGAAUUUUCAUUCUCCUUUUGCUGGGAUUGGAUGGUGAUUUGACCAGCUCAUCAUUGCCUCGUUGUAUUGGUUUUCCAUUCCUGCAGCAGCAGAUUGCCACAAAGUUAAUGGCUUAAAACAACACACAUUUGGCCAGGUACAGUGGCUCACACCUAGCACCUUGGGAGGCCGAGGUAAUCCCAGCAAUUUGGGAGGC
rnacentral:lncRNA from 1 species